GAAUAACCUUCCCUGUUGCCAAAUAAAACAGCAUUAAAUUUCACACGGUUAGAAAGAAAAUAUAACUAAUAAAUUGCGAGAAGGUUGCCCAAAAAGACAGCAAAAUUAUGAGAAUAUAAAUUAUAGAAUAAAUACAUGUAAUAAAAAUCAUGUUAGCAAAAGUUGAGGCAAUUUUUUACAAACUAGGACCAAAAAAAAAUAGACAAUAAAAAAAAAUGAAUACAUAUAUAUUUCUCACCGUAGCAUUCUUAAUAAAAUUGACAUGCUGGAUUACAAGUUAAGCACAGAAGAAUUUUUGGAAUCUCGACACAUAAGUACUAAAUAUUGAAUAUGGCAGAAAAUUUUGAAAUUUUAGCCGCAUGUUGCAAUCAAAUGAAAAUAAUACUCAUCAAUUAUGAAAGGUUCGCAAUUUUCUAGCAGCCAACCUCACAUAUACACCAUGGCCGUGGGCCAUGCAAACUGAACUUCAACCAAGAAUAGUAGAAUUGAUUCCCAAACUCAGCAUCAUCAGGCAAUGCUAAGACUAAGGCCUGUUUGGUAUUGUUGUUGGCAUUACUGUUAAGAAAAUAACUUUUUUAAAUAUGCUAGUUAGAGAGUAUUAAAAAAUA
rnacentral:misc_RNA from 1 species